GAUGAAGAAGGUAGCGAAAUGCGAUAAGUAAUGUGAAUUGCAGAAUUCCGUGAAUCAUCGAAUCUUUGAACGCACAUUGCGCCCCCUGGCAUUCCGGGGGGCAUGCCUGUCCGAGCGUCAUUUCUGCCCUCAAGCACGGCUUGUGUGUUGGGUGCGGUCCCCCCGGGACCUGCCCGAAAGGCAGCGGCGACGUCCGUCUGGUCCUCGAGCGUAUGGGGCUCUGUCACUCGCUCGGGAAGGACCUGCGGGGGUUGGUCACCACUAUAUUUUACCACGGUUGACCUCGGAUCAGGUAGGAGUUACCCGCUGAACUUAAGCAUAUCAAUAAGCGGAGGA
rnacentral:misc_RNA from 1 species